AUGGCAUUUCACCUUCAAUCUACAACAACGACGAGUUCGAUGCCACGAACAACAACUUCGACGCCAAGAUGCAUGCUAAAAUGGAGGAGAUCAAAGCCCUCAUCAAGUCCUACAAGAAAUCUUCCUCAUCUUCGAGAAUACGCUCAAGAGCACAUGCUUCCGAGCUACCAUCUCCAGCAAGAUCACAUCGGCACCGACACCAUCACCAACAAGAACCUUGAAGGUCAAGAUCUCAACACCAACUACCUCUCAAUGACUUCACCAUCUCCCUUGGCAUCUUUGCCAAGCGACUUCAAGGCAUCUUCGUCUAUGGACAUACAACAUCUUCGCCAACAAGCACCCCAAGACUACACUCAAGAGAAGCUCCCCAAGCUCAAGUCCACAACUUCCACGAGCUACUACGACCUCGGCACCGACAAUGAGAUUGCUUUCUAUGGGACUCAAGAACCCGAGGAGUAUCUCGAGUGGGAGCUUUUGAUGGACGACUACCUCAAGCUACAUCAAGUUCGUCCCGAAGAUCAAGUGAAGUGCGCCACAAGAAACUUCCACGACUACGCCUCGACAUGGUGUCUUCACACACCUUUGGAGAGCUACGAGAUGAGUUGGCCCAAGACGAAGAGAGCUUUGCGGCGAGAGUCCGUGCCUCCAACCUACACAGAACAACUUUGA
rnacentral:rRNA from 1 species